CCUACGGGCGGCAGCAGUGGGGAAUUUUGCGCAAUGGGCGAAAGCCUGACGCAGCAACGCCGCGUGAGUGAUGAAGGCUUUCGGGUCGUAAAGCUCUGUCAGGGGGAAAGAAGUGUAGUAUGGUUAAUACCCAUAUUGCUUGACGGUACCCCCAAAGGAAGCACCGGCUAACUCCGUGCCAGCAGCCGCGGUAAUACGGGGGGUGCGAGCGUGGUUCGGAAUCAUUGGGCGUAAUUGUCAAGUCGGAGGUGAAAGCCCCGGGCUCAACCUGGGAAGUGCAUUGGAUACUGGCAGACUUGAAUACGGGAGAGGGUAGUGGAAUUCCUGGUGUAGGAGUGAAAUCCGUAGAUAUCAGGAGGAACACCGGUGGCGAAGGCGGCUGCCUGGACCGAUAUUGACGCUGAGACGCGAAAGCGUGGGUAGCAAACAGGAUUAGAUACCCCUGUAGUC
rnacentral:rRNA from 1 species